rnacentral:rRNA from 1 species
AGAGUUUGAUCAUGGCUCAGGAUGAACGCUAGCUACAGGCUUAACACAUGCAAGUCGAGGGGCAGCAUGUUGGUUGCUUGCAACCAAUGAUGGCGACCGGCGCACGGGUGCGUAACGCGUAUCCAAUCUGCCCUGUGCUCGGGGAUAGCCUUGCGAAAGUAAGAUUAACACCCGAUGGUCUCCUUGGCCCGCAUGGUCCUUGGAGUAAAGUUUCACGGCACGGGAUGUGGAUGCGUCCGAUUAGGUAGUAGGCGGGGCAACGGCCCACCUAGCCGACGAUCGGUAGGGGUUCUGAGAGGAAGGUCCCCCACACUGGAACUGAGACACGGUCCAGACUCCUACGGGAGGCAGCAGUGAGGAAUAUUGGUCAAUGGUCGGAGGACUGAACCAGCCAAGUAGCGUGAGGGAAGGCGGCCCUACGGGUUGUAAACCUCUUUUGUUCGGGAAUAACAGGGUCCACUUGUGGUCCUCUGCAUGUACCGUUCGAAUAAGCAUCGGCUAAUUCCGUGCCAGCAGCCGCGGUAAUACGGAAGAUGCGAGCGUUAUCCGGAAUCAUUGGGUUUAAAGGGAGCGUAGGCGGCCUUUUGAGUCAGCGGUUAAAUGUCAGCGCCCAACGUUGGCGUGCCGUUGAUACUGGAGGGCUUGAGUUCACACAAGGAAGGUGGAAUUCGUCGUGUAGCGGUGAAAUGCUUAGAUAUGACGAGGAACCCCGAUUGCGAAGGCAUCCUUCUGGGGUGUUACUGACGCUGAGGCUCGAAAGCGCGGGUAUCAAACAGGAUUAGAUACCCUGGUAGUCCGCGCCGUAAACGAUGAGUGCUCGUCAUGCGCGACAGACUGUGCGUGACCUAGGGAAACCAUUAAGCACUCCACCUGGGGAGUACGCCGGCAACGGUGAAACUCAAAGGAAUUGACGGGGGCCCGCACAAGCGGAGGAACAUGUGGUUUAAUUCGAUGAUACGCGAGGAACCUUACCCGGGCUUGAACUGCCAGCGAACGAUACAGAGAUGUUGAGGCCCUUCGGGGCGCUGGUGGAGGUGCUGCAUGGUUGUCGUCAGCUCGUGCCGUGAGGUGUCGGCUUAAGUGCCAUAACGAGCGCAACCCCUGCCCCCAGUUGCCAUCGGGUCAUGCCGGGCCCUCUGGGGGGACUGCCAUCGCAAGGUGCGAGGAAGGUGGGGAUGACGUCAAAUCAGCACGGCCCUUACGUCCGGGGCUACACACGUGUUACAAUGGGGGGCACAGAGAGUUGCUUGCCGGCGACGGUUGGCGGAUCUUCAAAUCCCCUCUCAGUUCGGAUCGGAGUCUGCAACCCGACUCCGUGAAGCUGGAUUCGCUAGUAAUCGCGCAUCAGCCAUGGCGCGGUGAAUACGUUCCCGGGCCUUGUACACACCGCCCGUCAAGCCAUGAAAGCCGGGGGCGCCUGAAGUCCGUUGCCGCGAGGAUCGGCCUAGGGCGAGACCGGUGAUUGGGGCUAAGUCGUAACAAGGUAACC